CGCACGGGGCGCGUGCAUGCAAUGCGCUUUGGUGAAAAGUUAACGCGUCGCUCCCGCUUUUUGAGAAAAGCUGCAAAGCUGGAAUGGUAAUUCACAGCGAUAAUAAAAGGUAGGUAGGUAGGUGGGUGGGUGGGUAGGUAGGUAGGUAGGUAGGGGAUCGCAGCUGCCGCCACCAAAACACCCGAAGGCUGCCAUCCCGCACCCACGUUUUAGCUAGGAGCAAAGGUCGUUCGAACUCCGGGGCGGGGGGGGGGGAGCUUCCUCCUCGCGAGGAGACGUGCCCAAAGAUCGCGCCUUUACGCAGGCGAUUUAAAAAAUACAUAUAAUGAAAUGAGAUCGUAUGCGACUCCGGCAACGUCUCCGGGAAAAGAGGAAAGGUCCACAAAUGGGUUUUAUUUUUUUUAAAUAAAUUUAUUUAUUUAUUUAUGGGCUUUAAAAGAGGGGGUAGGUAGGUUCACAACCAGAGAGGGGGCUAAAAAUAAUAUGAUUUUUAAAAUAAAUAAUAAUCCGUAAAUGCUGUACUAACAUCCCAGGGAAGGGAAGAACGGAGGGAAAGAGAUGGAGCUUUCCCCGCCCCCCCCACCCCAAAAAACUACUUUUUUAAAAAAAGAAAAGGCUGAGAUGCGAAGUCAGACUUGGGAAUUUUUAUAAGGUGUGAAGCAAACAGGCCUGAGAUACAAUCAUCAUCAUCAUCAUCAAAUGUCCAUUUCGGAGCGGUGGAGAAAACUCCCAUAUUAUCCCUCUGGGAGGGGAUUUGAAAUAAAAGAGCAAACUUUGGAGUGAGAGAAAGGUGUUUGCUUUUUUUAGGAAAUCAUCUGGAUUUGCAUAGAUCCUUACAGCUAAACUCCCCAGAAAGAAACUCAGCAGUUUCUCAGAGUGGCUUUUUUUUUUUUUUUUGGAGAGUUUAGAAAUCAGAAUCAAGUCCUCCGAGAAAGGGGUGCCUGAGGCGUGCGCGGCGUUACUCCAACCGAGAGAAGAGGACCUCCCCAUUCCUUUGAGAGGCUCUACUUCCGAGUAGAACUUGGCUGGACUCAGCAGCCCUCUAGAUCCGGGUGAGAAUCGCCGGAACAGGGGAACGACGCGCUGCAGGAAUCGCGUCUCCAAGGCUUUCAGCUCAGGAAACUACCCACUCGCGCGCACCUUUCGCGAGGAAAUGGGAUUCGAGAGGAAUCUUCCUAUUCUGGAGCACUCUCGCCCUCCCUCUCGCCUUUUAAAAAAUCCCAUUAUUGCCACCGACCUUCCGCACGCACGUUGCGAAGCGAAACACGCACGCGUACCCAAAGUUUCCUAAGUCAGGACUGAGCGACGCACAAUUGCCUGAAAGGGAGCUUGUAUAGAGACACCUAUCAUCUGAAGAGGAGGGAAUUCCAAACUUGAAGUAGUUUUUCUCUCCUCCAACGCCCCCAGCCCAGUUUUUAGCUCUCGACAAAGAAGUCACAACUGUCUCCUAACUUCUAUUCCCUUCUGCCCCCGCCCCAGCGUCAACAAAAAUAAUAUUUUGGUAAGCUAAUGUAACAGCAGGCUGUUGAUUCUGGUAACAGUAACAAUAAAACCAGGAUGUU